GCCCCCCGCGCCCCCCUGCGCGCCCCCCGGGCUGCAGCCCGCGCCGCCGCCGGACACCCACCAGCUCCUCCGCGGUCCCCGGCGGCUCCGAAAAGUCGCGGCCCUAGCGACGCUCUGCACAUUUGCCGGGAUCCCCCUAGGAAGUACCGAGGCCCCAACUUGUUUUAAAACAAAGUGCGAAGGAGGAACCAGCCGCGCUCCCGCCUGUUACCCGCCAGCCCCGCUGCCCGAAGGCUCGUGCACUGUGCAGCGAGACUGCUUCACGCGCUCCGUUCCUCGACUUACCUACCGAGGCGCACGCAGCGAGCGGAAGGCGACGAGUCGGGUCUCCCUCCCGAGGAUGGAAGAGGAGGUCAGAGGGAGAUGCCCGCAGCCCGAGGCUGAGGAACGAACCCGGGGCGUCAGCUAGGGCGCCGUGGGGUCCGGAAGGCCUGGCCGGCCCCUCCGCAGUGAGCAGGAACUCAGUGAACCGCCCGGAGCAGAAAUGGGACGCUCGGGGACCCACCCCCGCGCUCCCCCUCCCGCCCCCAAACUGCAGAUUUUUAAGUUGUGCAGACUUGCAAUAAUUCCUCAGAGCCAGCUGCUCCAAGCUGUAGGCGCCCGGUGUUCCCGCCCCACAGCACGCAAUGGGACAACCGCCCCCCACCCAGCGCCUGCUGCCCGCUGGCCUCAGACGAGCACCCAGCAGGACCACACAGAGGCCUGUCCCCUCUCUUAUGGAAGAGGAUCCAAAGCAUUUGUCUACACUGCUGUUUGCAAGCCUCUGAAGAAGAACUCCCUGGGUCAGUGGAGACAUCUCAAGCAAAUGCGGGCCUCGGUGCAUAUGUCUUCCAGGCUUCUAUAAUUCUGGCUUUGGACACUCUUGGUAGGUUCCCCCUCUCUUACCCACUUACCCACAGGUCCAUGUCGUCCCCCCCCCCCCACCCUAAACCUGUCUCUGACCCUUCAUUCUCUCUAAACUCCAAAUGACAGAAAUCCAGUGAGGUAUCAAUUUGCUUUUUAAAUGGAAAAAGGUGAAAAUGAAGGUGUUCUUAUCUCUGACAAGGAGAUGGUGAGUGAGGGAGUAUUAGUAACAGGGGUGAACAUUUGUUCCACUGGUUCCUUUUGUUGGCAUCUCUUUAAACAGCAGCCUGAAUGUCACAGGAGUACUUGAAGCAUUUGCAAUUCCCCACAGUGCCAGCCUUUUUCCUGUCUCCCUGCACUCACCGUGAUCUCCCUCUGCUUGGAAUAUCCUUCCCAACUGGAAGCCUUUGUUUGCUCACCCAACUCCCUUUCUCUUAGGACACGAUGCAGUUGCUGGUCACUACCCUCUGGAAAGCCCCCUCGCCUAUCCAGGAGUCUGUACCUCCCCUUCACACUCCCUCAUGCUUUCUGCUUCUCACUUAGGUAACACCUACCAUAUUGGAUUUUCAUUGUUUAUUUUCAACUUGGCGCUGAACUCCUUGAAGGCUGAAUUUCUAGACCCUUUAAUAGGGUCUACGUGUUUAUGAGGUGAAUUACUGAAGACUCCACAUGUGCUUCUGAUAGAAAUUGAUAUACUUUAUUUCUUCCAUCAGGUAAAGAGAAAACAUAUCAACCAUCACAUCAAUCUCUGCUUGGAUGCCAGGCAGGUCGAGAUUAAAUCUAGUUAUUUAGCUAGAAUGCUUUUAUCACAGACUACUGCUCCAAUGAUCUCUCUUCUUUGACAAAACUAUUUGUAUGCUUAUUUAGAAUGCCCUGUUAUAUUAUUUUUAUAUUGAAAGUCCCUUAGGGGCGCCUGAGUGGCUCAUUCAGCUAAGCCUCCAACUCUUGAUUUUGGCUCAGGUCAUAAUCUUGGGGUUAUGAGAUCAAGGCCCUGGUCAAGCCUUGCGUUCAAGUGCAGAGUCUGCUUGAGAUUCUCUCUCUCCCUCUCCCUCUGCCCCUCCUCCAGCUUGCAUUAUCUCUCUCUCUAAAAUAAAUAAAUAAAUAAACAAACA
rnacentral:lncRNA from 12 species